rnacentral:tRNA from 1 species
UAGAAACAGGCAUAAAGCAUUUCAUUUACAUUGAAAAGAUUCUUGAAAUUAUUCAAGGUUUCUAA